rnacentral:rRNA from 1 species
AAUCUACCCAAUGGCGGGGGACAGCUCGAGGAAACUCGAAUUAAUACCGCAUAAUCUCUACGGAGUAAAGAGGGCUUCGGCUCUCACCAUCGGAUGAGCCUAUGCAAGAUUAGCUUGUUGGUAAGGUAAUGGCUUACCAAGGCAACGAUCUUUAGCUGGUUUGAGAGGAUGACCAGCCACAUCGGGACUGAGACACGGCCCGGACUUCUACGGAAGGCAGCAGUAGGGAAUAUUGGACAAUGAGCGAAAGCUUGAUCCAGCUAUGCCGCGUGUGCGAUGACGGCCCUCGGGUUGUAAAGCACUAUAGGUAACGAGGAAAAGUUAGGUGUUAAUACCACUUAACCAUGACGNUUAUUACAGAAUAAGCACCGGCUAAAUCCGUGCCAGCAGCCGCGGUAAUACGGAUGGUGCAAGCGU